UACGGGGGGGGCAAGCGUUGUUCGGAAUUACUGGGCGUAAAGGGCUCGUAGGUGGCCCACUAAGUCAUACGUGAAAUCCCUCGGCUUAACCGGGGAACUGCGUCUGAUACUGGAUGGCUUGAGGUUGGGAGAGGGAUGCGGAAUUCCAGGUGUAGCGGUGAAAUGCGUAGAUAUCUGGAGGAACACCGGUGGCGAAGGCGGCGCUCUGGGCCGGAACUGACGCUGAGGAGCGAAAGCGUGGGUAGCAAACAGG
rnacentral:rRNA from 1 species